GCCUCUGGCCCCCACCCACCAUGGUAGAGCAGGAGAUUCAUAAUCUCAAGGUUGUGGGUUCAAUCCCCACCUUAGGCA